rnacentral:rRNA from 1 species
AUUGAACGCUGGCGGCAGGCCUAACACAUGCAAGUCGAGCGGAUGAAGGGAGCUUGCUCCUGGAUUCAGCGGCGGACGGGUGAGUAAUGCCUAGGAAUCUGCCUGGUAGUGGGGGAUAACGUCCGGAAACGGGCGCUAAUACCGCAUACGUCCUGAGGGAGAAAGUGGGGGAUCUUCGGACCUCACGCUAUCAGAUGAGCCUAGGUCGGAUUAGCUAGUUGGUGGGGUAAAGGCCUACCAAGGCGACGAUCCGUAACUGGUCUGAGAGGAUGAUCAGUCACACUGGAACUGAGACACGGUCCAGACUCCUACGGGAGGCAGCAGUGGGGAAUCUUCGACAAUGGGCGAAAGCCUGAUCCAGCCAUGCCGCGUGUGUGAAGAAGGUCUUCGGAUUGUAAAGCACUUUAAGUUGGGAGGAAGAACAGUAAAUUAAUACCUUGCUGUUUUGACGUUACCAACAGAAUAAGCCCCGGCUAACUUCGUG